CCUUCGGGUGAGCGGCGGACGGGUUAGUAACGCGUGGGAACGUGCCCAGAUCUAAGGAAUAGCCACUGGAAACGGUGAGUAAUACCUUAUACGCCCUUCGGGGGAAAGAUUUAUCGGAUUUGGAUCGGCCCGCGUUAGAUUAGGUAGUUGGUGGGGUAAUGGCCUACCAAGCCUACGAUCUAUAGCUGGUUUUAGAGGAUGAUCAGCAACACUGGGACUGAGACACGGCCCAGACUCCUACGGGAGGCAGCAGUGGGGAAUCUUAGACAAUGGGGGAAACCCUGAUCUAGCCAUGCCGCGUGAGUGACGAAGGCCCUAGGGUCGUAAAGCUCUUUCGCCAGGGAUGAUAAUGACAGUACCUGGUAAAGAAACCCCGGCUAACUCCGUGCCAGCAGCCGCGGUAAUACGGAGGGGGUUAGCGUUGUUCGGAAUUACUGGGCGUAAAGCGUACGUAGGCGGAUUGGAAAGUUGGGGGUGAAAUCCCAGGGCUCAACCCUGGAACUGCCUCCAAAACUACCAGUCUAGAGUUCGAGAGAGGUGAGUGGAACUCCGAGUGUAGAGGUGAAAUUCGUAGAUAUUCGGAAGAACACCAGUGGCGAAGGCGGCUCACUGGCUCGAUACUGACGCUGAGGUACGAAAGUGUGGGGAGCAAACAGGAUUAGAUACCCUGGUAGUCCACACCGUAAACGAUGAAUGCCAGUCGUCGGGUAGUAUACUAUUCGGUGACACACCUAACGGAUUAAGCAUUCCGCCUGGGGAGUACGGCCGCAAGGUUAAAACUCAAAGAAAUUGACGGGGGCCCGCACAAGCGGUGGAGCAUG
rnacentral:rRNA from 1 species